rnacentral:rRNA from 1 species
CUUUUUCUUCGAUUAGAACUCUAAAAAAAAAUUACGCUGUUAUCCCUAAGGUAAUUUUUUCUUUUAAUCUUAAAAAAAGGAUCAUAUAAAUCACUUAUCUAUGAAUCUAAAUAAAAAAAAGUUCAUUAAAUUUUUUGAUCACCCCAAUCAAAUACUUAUUUUUAAAAAUAAUAAAAUAAUUCCCCAUAUUUUAUCUUAAAAAAUAAAUAUAAAACUCUAUAGGGUCUUCUCGUCUUUUAUAAAUAUUUAAGCUUUUUUACUUAAAAAUAAAAUUCAAAACUUUUAAUCUGAGACAGUUAUUUUCUCAUCAAACCUUUCAUUCCAGCUUUCAAUUAAAAAACUAAUGAUUAUGCUACCUUAGCACGGUCAAAAUACCGCGGCCGUUAAA